AGACCAGACUCCUACGGGAGGCAGCAGUGGGGAAUAUUGCACAAUGGGGGAAACCCUGAUGCAGCGACGCCGCGUGAGUGAAGAAGUAUUUCGGUAUGUAAAGCUCUAUCAGCAGGGAAGAAGUUGACGGUACCUGAGUAAGAAGCCCCGGCUAACUACGUGCCAGCAGCCGCGGUAAUACGUAGGGGGCAAGCGUUAUCCGGAUUUACUGGGUGUAAAGGGAGCGUAGACGGCAGCACAAGUCUGGAGUGAAAUGCCGGGGCUUAACCCCGGAACUGCUUUGGAAACUGUACGGCUGGAGUGCUGGAGAGGUAAGCGGAAUUCCUAGUGUAGCGGUGAAAUGCGUAGAUAUUAGGAGGAACACCGGUGGCGAAGGCGGCUUACUGGACUGCAACUGACGUUGAGGCUCGAAGGCGUGGGGAGCAAACAGGAUUAGAUACCCGAGUA
rnacentral:rRNA from 1 species